AAAUAAGUGAACCAGUGACUCAGGGUGCUAGUGUUUCUUAUGUUUCCCUGAGCUCGCCUCGCGGUGAUGACGUCAUCAGCAGCGCGCGCUCCUGUGUCAUCUGAGGCGAGUCGAGAUCUGCACGUUCUCAUACACUGAAGCUCCUCCCCCUUUUAUGAAGCUCCUCCUCCUUUUAUGAAGCUCCUCCUCCUUCAGUUCAGCUAUAAAUACUGGAGUAUUCCCAUCAGUCUACAAGUGGAGACGAGCAUCAGAGCAU
rnacentral:lncRNA from 1 species